rnacentral:rRNA from 1 species
UGGGGAAUAUUGCACAAUGGGGGAAACACUGAUGCAGCGACGCCGCGUGAACGAAGAAGGUAUUCGUAUCGUAAAGUUCUGUCCUAUGGGAAGAUAAUGACAGUACCAUAGAAGAAAGCACCGGCUAAAUACGUGCCAGCAGCCGCGGUAAUACGUAGGGAGCGAGCGUUGUCCGGAAUUAUUGGGCGUAAAGGGUACGAAGGCGGUUUAAUAAGUCGAAUGUUAAAGAUCGGGGCUCAACCCCGUAAAGCAUUGGAAACUGAUGGCCUUGAGUAGUGGAGAGGAAAGUGUAAUUCCUAGUGUAGUGGUGAAAUACGUAGAUAUUAGGAGGAAUACCAGUAGCGAGGGCUACUUUCUAGACACAAACUAACGCUGAAGUACGAAAGCGUGGUGAGCAAACAGG